rnacentral:piRNA from 1 species
UUCUUCAGGACAGUUAAAAGAGC